UAGAGGAAGUAAAAGUCGUAACAAGGUUUCCGUAGGUGAACCUGCGGAAGGAUCAUUAUUGAAUUUUGAAUGGGGUUGUAGCUGGCCUUCCGGGCAUGUGCACGCCCCACUCAUUCCAAAUUCUCAUACACCUGUGCACAUCCUGUAGGUUUGGUUUGAGUUGCGGUCUCUUCGCGGAGAUUGUGGCUCGGCCUUUCCUAUGUUAUAUAUAUAAACUCUAUACAGUCUGCAGAAUGUAAACCGCGUUUAACGCAUUAAAUACAACUUUCAGCAACGGAUCUCUUGGUUCUCGCAUCGAUGAAGAACGCAGCGAAAUGCGAUAAGUAAUGUGAAUUGCAGAAUUCAGUGAAUCAUCGAAUCUUUGAACGCACCUUGCGCUCCUUGGUAUUCCGAGGAGCAUGCCUGUUUGAGUGUCAUGGAAUUCUCAACCCCCAUCACCUUUGUUGGUGGUGUGUGGGCUUGGAUUUUGGAGGUUUUCUGCCGGACGGUCAAACGUUCGGCUCCUCUUGAAUGCAUUAGCUUGGACCUCUGUGUAUCUUGCUCAAUCCGGUGUGAUAGUUUUGUCUACGCCGGAGGGUUUACACUCUGUGAGGGUUUGGGCUUCCAAUCGUCCUUUCGGACAAUUGUUUUUUUGACCUCUGACCUCAAAUCAGGUAGGAUUACCCGCUGAACUUAAGCAUAUCAA
rnacentral:rRNA from 1 species